ACUCAAAUGAAUUGACGGGAACCCGCACAAGCGGUGGAGCAUGUGGUUUAAUUCGACGGUAAGCGAGGAACCUUACCAAGGUUUGACAUGUCACUUCAAGCGCACGGAAACGUGUGAUCUUCGAGAGUGUGAUACAGGUGCUGCACGGUUGUCGUCAGCUCGUGUCGUGAGAUGUUCCCUUAAGUGGGAGAACGAGCGCAACCCCCAUGAUAUGUUGAUUUUCAUAUCAGACUGCCAGCGUUUAAGUUGGAGGAAGGCGGGGAUGACGUCAAAUCAGCGUGGCUCUUACGCCUUGGGCUACACACGUGCUACAAUGGAUAGGAACAAAGGGACGCAAUAUCGUAAGAUGGAGCAAAUCCUCUCAAAAACUAUCCUCAGUUCGGAUUGAGGGCUGCAACUCGCCCUCAUGAAGCUGGAAUCGCUAGUAACUGUGAAUCAGCCUCGUCACAGUGAAUACGUUCUCGGGUUUUGCACACACCGCCCGU
rnacentral:rRNA from 1 species